GAAAUAUAUACCUAAUCCCUUGAAAAUUUUCAAUUGACUCUUAAAAUUUUUAUGUUCUUUUUAAGUAUUAUAGUUACUUUGAACUCUUUAAAUACUCAAUUUUUUUAUUGUUGCUUUUCUUGGGCCCCUCGCCACACCCUACCCCGCGCGCCCCAACCACCCCUCCCCCCAUCAACAACUUGAAAGUUCUAGUUCCGCCCCUAGCUGGAAGAUUGUUUCGAUUAAUUGAUGGACUUACCCAAAGACAUUCUGAUGAACAUUAAAGGAUAUUGGCUAUUUGGCUUCACCUUGCUUGCCUGACCUGUAAUAGGAUCAUCAUUGUGAAUACACCUCCCCCUUAGUUUUUAUAACUGCAAAUUAUUACCAGUAGUCGUGCUUGACGGUGAUUAUUUGGCUUUUGCUGUGAUUUUUUAAAAAAGUAAAGUUAUGUGCGAUUAGCAGCUGGAUGGCCAUUACAUGGGUGGUAACCAAAUUUGAGUAAAAUAAUAUAUCUUUGGCAGUAAAGUUGGCAAAGUUGGCAGUUGAUAAAGUUUUGACAGCUCCAUGCGGGACAUCGGUCUUGUACCCAAAAAGUGGGGGGAAUCUCCAUUGUUUCACUGCGGUCACCCCUUGUGCUGUGCU
rnacentral:misc_RNA from 1 species